UUUCCAUGUAUUUUGCCUGGUGUUUUUUUUCAAAAUCAAAGCCUGCAGAGUAAAGGAUAGCUGACUCUGAUUUCAGUGUAUAUUUUGUUGUGGAGCAAGAGCAAAAACUCCUGCCUAGAGGGUCAACUGCCCCUUAGAACCAACUUCUCUGGUUUGAAACGGCCUAUGUGGCAUCGAUAUGAGUCAGACACAUUCAUUUCAGUGUCAAAAUUGACGACAAAACUGUGUUUUGUAAGUGAGUUCAUCACAACUACUGGAGGGUUGGGUAUGGAUUACUUAACGCCGAUUUAUGGACAUUCUGGUGUCUGCAUUGAACGUACAGCAUUUACUGCGAUGCGGCCUCUGCAGAAGUCAGGGCAUUCAUACUUGUGCUUCUCAGAGCAGAGCUGUUGUGAAUGAAGUUGUCAAGGAAGUGAGUUUGUGUUUAUACAGGACGUAUCGCCCCCACCUGCAGUCAGACAAUGUUAAAUCGGAGCUAUACGGAGCCCUCACAUUGUUACAAAAUUUGGGAGGCCAUGGCGAGAUGGUACGGAGCUCCGCAAUUGCGGCACACCCUUGAGUUACAUUCAACAUGGUUACUUCUGCUGCCUGUCAACCGUCAAACUACUGGUGAUGGUGAGUACGUUAGUAGAUAGUUAUUACUAUACAACAUUAUUUGAUAAUGCUAGCGAGCUAAAUACAUCAAGCUAACGUGUAAUGUGAUGUAGCAUGUCAGAAGGGACAAAAGGUGACUACAAAUAAGACAGACUAAUCCAGCUGCUGCUGCUGAUGUUGACACCAGCUUUAGUAGUACAGAGCCUGUAGACCCAUUGGAUGAAAGUAUUCAGCCUGGAAUAAACUCAAGCUCAAAAUGAUCUGACUUUGAAACAAGCCGACAGCCAAAGGAGAAUUAUAGAACAAACAAAUCUUCUGCAUGAGGUUGAAGCAGCGGGUGGUGAAGAAAGAGAGGCUUUUCUACUUGGCUGUGGAGUGCAGAAAGGACCAGACUGUUGUCUACAAGGAGCCAGAGUCACAUCCCCCCCAAACCUAACAUCACUGCCAACAUCGCCACAGCACCAAAGCUUGCUAAACCAGCUGCCAUUACCCAAAACAAGGAGAGGUUCACCAGCUGAAGAACAUUCUGGAACUUGCCUGGAACAUUCAACCAACACAACAUCCAUAUUCUGUUAGACUGAUGUUGUAGUAUAAUAUAGAAUUGUAACGGAGACGCAGGGAGCUCCUCCUCGGAGUGCUAGAUGAACGGGGAGUAAUCAGGGAAGUGAUGACCUCCCCCCUCCGACGUGCGGCCCCAGCCGCAGGACGACACCGGCCCCGAGGGCGAAGAGCGGGCCGGUCUGGACGGCGAAGGUGGAAAUCUCAGAUGAGAUUAGUCUGUUAAUGUAGCAAAUAAGUAGACAUGUCUUGUAUUCAGGACAAAGUUUAUUUGUUCUGGGGACCGUGGUAAUUUUACACAGCAGUAUGCAGGAAUACAGUAUAUACAGUAGAAGAAAUACUAAUACUAACGCUUUUAAUAAAUACUACAGUUCUACAAAGGGAAUACUUGCAUAUGGUGUGUUUGGGUGGUGCAGUGAGGUGUUCGGAGUCACUUUGAUACAAUGGGAGUUUGCUGUUAUGGGACCUUUCACAUCUUGUCUUGAGUCAUCAAUUAUAUUUCUUGUCUGUGAGAGAAAGAAGAAAACUCUAUUACACAUUCAUGGGCAAUCGUUGUUUACUGUCUGUAUUCCUACUGUAGCAGCAUGCUGUAGAAUGAGACAUCUCACAGACAUGUUAAAUAGCUAGCUAGCUACAACACACAGGUAUAGGUACCCCAAGUCUAAUAUGAGUCAUCAAGCCAAAGUCAUUCCUUUAUUCUCCAGUAUCAUCAUCAAAACAUUUCUCCAGUUUUGCUCAUAAUGCGAGGCACCGAGGGUAGUUAGCUAGCUACAACGUUAGACUACAGUACAUUUUAAAUAUAGUAAACAACACGGCUAGCUUGGCUUGUAGUGGUUCUAACAAGCCGCGUUAUCGCCGAAUCGAUCACCAAAUUGUACUGAACAACACUGCCUCGGUUAAAAGAUAGAUUAUAUUGCUAGCUAGCUGCCGCUGCUUGCUGGCCUUGUAAUUAUUUUUCUUGCUGUCUCAACUUCUCUUCAGUGUAUUCCGGCUCACAUAAAUAGGCCCGUACGUUCCUAUGUAAAAUAAAAUAAAGGUUUUGUCGUUCAGCUCUUCUUGGAAAGAGGAAGCAGCCAUUGUAGCAAAUUAUUGAGCAUUCUCGGUAACAUAGCUCCUGUGAACCUGUAAACUAGUACCGCCCCCAUUUUUAAAAGCUUGCCUUCGAGGGUGGGAACAAGGAAGUAUGGCUCCCGUCAGGCUAUAGUCUAUACAAAACCAGGUAAAAUGAGUCAAUCUUGAUAUCCUGCAAUGUCCUGGCAGAUAGGAACAUCGUUGAGAAAAGUCCAAUGGCUCUAUUGAACAAGGACAACCAUAUCUACUCGCGUGAUCGUGCAGUCGGCGAAACACAAAGGCCACAAUAAUUGCUUAGAAACGUAACUCCAUAAAUUUUUUGAUCAGACAGCAGGCUCAAUCAACCAAUGACAUAAUUGUCUGAAUCACCCUCUCAUCACUCUGGAAAAACACCCCAAAAAGUCUCUAGUGGUGAAGUUUCCCUUUAAGGGAUGUACACAAAGGCUGGCUAUCCUUGCAUCGGAAACAGAGUUGUGAGGACGGCAAAGCACUGCCACUAUUGGUUGAUUAUCC
rnacentral:lncRNA from 1 species